rnacentral:pre_miRNA from 1 species
UUUCUACUCACUCUGUCCCAUAUUAAGUGACUUUGUAUUACAUGUAUCUAGACACUUUUUACGCAUAGAUACAUUCAUAUUUGGAUAAGUUUGAGUCACUAAAUAUGGGACGGAGGGAGUAUAGC